AGCAGAUGUGUGUACACAGCCGGACUCCUCUCCCAGCUGAGCUUGCAGCUGCUGCUGCGUUAAAUCACUGUUGUUUCCACCAAUGAGUUGUUCCCCUAAAAUCCGCCAGCGUGGCUGCGGAGCGUAGAGAUCCAAUGGAAGACAAUUCUACUCACGGUUUAAAGUGGCUUCCACCAGAGAGGAGUCACCAGUCAGCUGAGAUGAAGAACACCGUUGGCAGCAGAGCUGAGGAAUCACCUCCCUCUUCUGGGGCACUGUACAUACACUCAUUUUGCAUGGCAUGGGUACACUUUGCAGCACAUUUUUUUCUUCGUUCUACCUGUUUCCAGCAUUUUGGAACAGCAUGACUGCUCAUGGCUAUCACAGUUGACCACAAUAAUUACAAGCCUCCGGAGUCCAACACAAGACAGUCUAAGGUUGUGGCUUCUUGACUGCUCUCAAUUGCUUCGAUAAGCUGAUUGCAGGCUGCAAUAUAACGUGUUUGAAGAGACAGUAAUGCUACAGCUCAAGUCCAACCAUUCUCAUUGCUGCUGAGAACACCAGGGAAGCAGUAGACACAGUCGAUUUUUAAGGCUUCUGAAUCUUGACGUACCCACCUCCCAACUUUGAUACAUCAACACACAGAGUUCAAGGAACACCCCCAGGAAAACAAUCUCUCGGAUAAAUAGGAAGGAAAGGAGCAUUUGCUUAAGAUGUUAAACGUAACCUAAUUAGUAAAUGAAGUGCAAUUCAAAUAAGGCGUGGAGAAUUCCUACGUGGCAGUGCUACGCCACUGGUGAAUUUCUGUGUAGUAGAAGAAAAAAAAAUAAAACAGAUGAUGCCAAAGGAAAUAAAGCUUUAAGUUCAGAA